GAUGAAGAACGCAGCGAAAUGCGAUAAGUAAUGUGAAUUGCAGAAUUCAGUGAAUCAUCGAAUCUUUGAACGCACAUUGCGCCCGCCAGUAUUCUGGCGGGCAUGCCUGUUCGAGCGUCAUUUCAACCAUCAAGCCCCAGGCUUGUGUUGGAGCCCUGCGGCUGCCGCAGCCUCCCAAAACCAGUGGCGGGCUCGCUAUCACACCGAGUGCUGUAGUUUACUCUUCGCUCAGGGCGUGUGGCGGGUGCUAGCCGUAAAACCCCCAACUUCUCAAGGUUGACCUCGGAUCAGGUAGGAAUACCCGCUGAACUUAAGCAUAUCAAUAAGCGGAGGA
rnacentral:misc_RNA from 1 species